GAGAAGAAUGUGUGUAUGUGUGAGAAAGUAUAGUGGAAACAGAAGGAGUAUGGUGGAAACGGAUGGCAGAACAUUUAUCGCGCUGUGAUUGGCUGUCAACCUCACGCUGUGAUUGGCUGAGAAACUCCAGCAGGGUCAUCUUCAGGUCGCGAUCCCCAUGGACGGAGAAGAGACGAAUGCUUUGCAGCCAGCCAUUGGAGUUUUAAGGACUAUUUUAACAUCCUCUGAUGCUAUUUCUGCCAUGGAGUGGCAAAGGACGUGCUCAUCUGCACCGAACGUUGUUCACAGCACGGCAGGAAGUGAAAUGAGAAAACUUUUCCGACCAGGUGACAACUCACAAGACCCUGCUAUAGGCAAUGCACCUCAAGCUAACCAAGGCCAAACCGGAGGAUCACGGCAGUCCUUAAGAUUUCAAACUCAGCAACACUUUGGAAAUUGGGGCUCUUGUCCGAGGAAACGGGCCAAAAUUCAACAUCACAACAAGGAUGUUAUCCUUCUUUCGAAGCCAUCAAGCAAUGUCGUUGUCAAGCAGCACACUAAACAGUUACAUGAACACUGACAUAUAUUGAAUGGGUUUGAAUUCCAGAAGUCUUGGGACCAGAAGACUGUCACUGAACAAAUAAGGGAAGCCUUUAGAGAAAAACUGUCGGCUGAAGUGAGCCUUGAGUUUCUAAUGGCAUGUGGCAACAGGUUGAUUUCCCCCAAACUGCGUGCUGGACAGGAACUGGAUGCAAAUCUCAUCCACAAAGUAUAUAAAUCGAAAGCAAUAUACCUCAG